rnacentral:rRNA from 1 species
UACGUAGGGCGCAAGCGUUAUCCGGAAUUAUUGGGCGUAAAGAGCUCGUAGGCGGUCUGUCGCGUCUGCCGUGAAAGUCCGGGGCUCAACUCCGGAUCUGCGGUGGGUACGGGCAGACUAGAGUGCAGUAGGGGAGACUGGAAUUCCUGGUGUAGCGGUGAAAUGCGCAGAUAUCAGGAGGAACACCGAUGGCGAAGGCAGGUCUCUGGGCCACUACUGACGCUGAGAAGCGAAAGCAUGGGGAGCGAACAGG